AUUGAACGCUGGCGGCAGGCCUAACACAUGCAAGUCGAGCGCGCGGCGGACGGGUGAGUAUUGUCUGGGAAACUGCCUGAUGGAGGGGGGUAACUACUGGAAACGGUAGCUACUACCGCAUACCCUCAGAUGUGCCCAGAUGGGAUUGGGUCGGAGGGGGGGUAACGGCUCACCUCGAGGACGAUCCCUAGCUGGUCUGAGAGGAGGACCAGCAACACUGGAACUGAGACACGGUCCAGACUCCUACGGUAGGCAGCAGUGGGGAAUAUUGCACAAUGGGAGCAAGCCUGAUGCAGCCAUGCCGCGUGUAUGAAGAAGGCCUUCGGGUUGUAAAGUACUUUCAGCGGGGAGGCGUUACCCGCAGAAGAAGCACCGGCUAACUCCGUGCCAGCAGCCGCGGUAAUUC
rnacentral:rRNA from 1 species